GUGCCAGCCGCUGCGGUAAUACGGAGGGUGCAGGCGUUAAUCGGAAUUACUGGGCGUAAAGCGCACGCAGGCGGUUUGUUAAGUCAGAUGUGAAAUCCCCGGGCUCAACCUGGGAACUGCAUCUGAUACUGGCAAGCUUGAGUCUCGUAGAGGGGGGGUAGAAUUCCAGGUGUAGCGGUGAAAUGCGUAGAGAUCUGGAGGAAUACCGGUGGCGAAGGCGGCCCCCUGGACGAAGACUGACGCUCAGGUGCGAAAGCGUGGGGAGCAAACAGGAUUAGAUACCCUGGUAGUCCACGCCGUAAACGAUGUCGACUUGGAGGUUGUGGCCCUUGAGGCGUGGCUUCCGGAGCUAACGCGUUAAGUCGACCGCCUGGGGAGUACGGCCGCAAGGUUAAAACUCAAAUGAAUUGACGGGGCCCGCACAAGCGGUGGAGCAUGUGGUUUAAUUCGAUGCAACGCGAAGAACCUUACCUAGGUCUUGACAUCCACGGAAGUUUUCAGAGAUGAGAAUGUGCCUUCGGGAACCGUGAGACAGGUGC
rnacentral:rRNA from 1 species